GUCACUUUGGCCGAGUGGUUAAGGCGCGCCCCUGCUAUUCAUCGUCCCCCGACGACGGUUUCCAAGGGCGUUCAUUCGUGAGCGUAGGUUCGAAUCCUGCAGGUGACG
rnacentral:tRNA from 1 species